rnacentral:lncRNA from 1 species
CUUUCUUAGUCCCAUAAGUGGACGCAGACGCUUGCGGUAGCCGAAAGGUAUUAAACAAGUGAAAGUGGAAAAUCGUGCGAGAGCUGCUUUUUGUGCACAGGUCGAUUGACUGUAGAUUCCUUGACCAGAUAUACCGUUUGCAUGGGGGGGCCCUGUUAAUCCGACAACUCGUAGCUUGGAUGUAACUGACGGCGACUGCCAUAUCGGGUGACUGGAUACACAGCUGCCUGAUGUUGGAGACGUAGAUCAUAUUUAUGAAGUUAAUCAAGACAUUCGGUUUUCUUCCGUAGUCGCGAGACCUGCUGUUGUUCCCCGAGAAGCCCUCACGGUGUCCGUUACUUCAUGCCUCGUACAAGCUAUCCUCCUUGUGAAACGUAUGUUGAUCCUGUGUUCUUCACCGUCAGUUCGCAAAGGAAGAGGGGCCUUGAAGAUUCCCGCACCUGAUCGGCGACUAUGAAGGUAGAUUUUUUUAUCCACUGACGACGGUGUUACGCCAAGUUUCUCUAUUCCGUAGCCGCUUGUUAGAAAAAUAACGCAUUCACCGACAUGGUUCGGGGUCGAGCGCGGACGCACACCUGACAUACUAGCAGGGCUGGCGUAUUGCGACCUUUUUUGUGUGAUGAACGUGCGCUAUAGUGGGGAUAGGUGAUGGCGGUGUCCCUUACUUCAUGUUGCUAGGAAGCCGUUUACACGGAAAUCCCUGUGCUCAGUUGUGCAAUCUUGCCGGAAGUGACUUGACCGUUGUCACAAACAGCUCAGCUGUGAGAAGCUCUCUUGAUUUUAAGUGGUCCAGUUGUGCAAAACGUGACAUCUACCCACAAGUUCCUCUUUUUUCGUAGGGCACACACCGAAGGAGGCAAGCAUUUUUCGGGGUGUACCCACAGCAGCUGCAACGAUGCCGGCGCGGAGCGGAAAGGUAAUGCCCCUGCUGCUCAAGCAGGCGGAACUCCAGUUAAGAUUGUGAGCAGUUACUGACGUGUUGCGUGUGCUAGUAUACCGGGAUUGCGUAAAUUGUUGGUGCUGUGUGAGUGAAAACCGACUGUGCAUCUGCACGUUUGUGCGAGUAUAUCACUGAGCGGACAAAUAGAUAGGUGGCACCGUUGGAAGAGACAAAUUAUUAGCUCAGUGCUGUGGAUCUGAGAAAAGGAAAACCUUAAACAGAGUGGUGACUUAUUUUUAUCUGGGGGGACAUCGAGGGAACGAUCCGCACCCUUUCUCUGCUGCACUCAACAUUGUAGGCGAAAACUCUACACGUCGUCCCACUACUAAAUUCGUGAAGACGAAGAAAAGCUUCAUUUGAAAGCGCGAGACUGAAGUUCGUCUUCGUGCGGAAUGAUGAGCUGUUCUUUUGUCCGGCUCUGUAAGAAUAAUCUGAAGGCUGCAAAUGAAACGAGGAGACCUUGAGACGACGGCGUGGAGAGUGAAGGACGACACUUUGUGUUCGACUCACUGCGGUGUUUCUAUCACCCGUGCCGCCAAACUGUAAGAAACACCGCGUGAGGUAGGAUGAACAGAGGUGGAAACGUGUGAACUGCUUUCACACAAAUUCCGUGAGGCCGUUCACAAAGUUGCGGAUGUACCACUUCGGUAGUCGUCCGUGCCACGAAAGCGUCGUAGUGAGCUUCUUCUACCGCUUCCCCAGCGUAGCUACUACGAAAGACUCAUCAUGCGCUCUCCCGUGUCAUCAGCCCCAACGUUACUGCAGAGCAGCAUUUGUAUCCUUUCAAAACGGUUACACUGAUUGCAAUGUUUUCUGCAUCAUUUUCAGCCACAAAAGAUGAAUAACGCAUUUGUAAUUAUUACGACAACCCGCGAAAGCGGGUCUCUGAGCCUCAUUAUCACAAGGUAGUCGUCUGUGCGUGUGCUUCGAAUGCGCGUGAACUAUAUCGUCAGCCGAAGAGCCGUGGCUUCGAGUAGCAUCAUUUGAGUGAUUUUCUUCGGAGAACAUUACUACAUGACUCUUACAUAUCCAUGACGCAAAGCAGGUGUUGCUCGCAAGAGACCGACGACACUAGACACAAAUCAACUACCACGAAAACACGGAAUAAACUGCGUCGUGCGUGGAUGAAUGUGUCCAUGGUGCCGUGUGUUUGGGUAUCUGACAACGCAGCCCGAUGUGUGGGGCUGCUAACGGUCUUACGAGCAAAUACUAACGUCGAUGCGAACGCCUACCAAGUCUGUUACCGCUGUCAACACUGACUAAUGCUUUGUUCAGUUCGUGGUACCCUGUCACGGAAAGAGCGUGUUUGAAUUUCAUCUGGUAACGAAGGAACCGGCUUUAAAUGAAUUGUUUCUUUGUGAAAAUUGCUUUUUUCUGUCAAGAGGCUCUCUGGGAUGGUGAGCCGAGGAACUCUCAACCUGCCUAAAUGAACAAGAGUCCGUUUCUGCCCACGUGGAAGUGCCAUUCUCUUUGAUGGGUGAUGCGCGAAUCCCUCGUGCACAUAAAUGUAAACGAGCUCAGGCGAGUGGCAUGAUUGAAAAGUUCGCACCGCGGGGAAAACAAAUAUGCUCGUCCAGCUUGGAAGACCAUGUUGCAUGGGGAGCGACGUUGGUCUUCGACGGUAGCUGCCUCGAGAAUAAGUAGCGGAGUCGUGUAACUACGGCAUACAACAGACCAUUUUGCUUUGGACUCGUUCACGCGUGGAAAAAAGUAGCAGAAAUGGAAGCAUGCAUGUGAUUUCUCUUCUGUGGAGGCUUCGCUUUAUGUCAACGUGAACUGAGUUCUACAGAGACGGCGUUUCUGGGCAGCCGCUUCAUGAAGGAGAUCAAGUUCCUGAGGUUUCUUCAAGGUGCCCUUGGGCAAGAACUUCGCCAGUUCAGCAUGCUCCCGCAGGAGCCGCAGGCGCUCUUGCUCGACAACCGUUUGUUUCUCUUCUUCAACUGCAGCCAACCGUUCCCAAGUCUGCUUUUCCGCUUCUCUCUCUGCUUCAAAUAGUUGUCGUCGUUGGAUGAUCAACCGUUCUACCUGAGCGUGAAAAAGGAACGAGUCCAUUUUUUUCCGUUUUCCGUCACCCCAGAGGAUACCGCUCCGAUAACAAAAGGCAAAAAGGCAGCCUGAUGACCUAUCGGUUGAACGGAUGGAACCAGUCUUUUUUUGUGAGAAACAAUAACGAGCUAGGCUCAGUCCCUGAGGUGAUUGAACAGGCUGACAAGCGUGUGGCAUCAGCGGGUAUUUUGAUGCGGAACGUCCCUGGGGUAACAAGAUCUUUGCACGUGGAGCGAACCAGCCAAGUACUGUUUUGCAGCAGCCCCUCCCUAGAAAUCCUUACUUGACGCAUGUGCUCUUGAAUCCUCAAGCGCUUCUUCUGCUC